rnacentral:rRNA from 1 species
GACGAACGCUGGCGGCGUGCCUAACACAUGCAAGUCGAGCGGUAAGGCCCUUUCGGGGGUACACGAGCGGCGAACGGGUGAGUAACACGUGGGUGACCUGCCUUUAGCUCUGGGAUAAGCCUGGGAAACUGGGUCUAAUACCGGAUAUGACCCUAUGGCGCAUGUUGUGGGGUGGAAAGUUUUCCUGUGCGGCUAGGGAUGGGCCCGCGGCCUAUCAGCUUGUUGGUGGGGUGAUGGCCUACCAAGGCGACGACGGGUAGCCGGCCUGAGAGGGCGACCGGCCACACUGGGACUGAGACACGGCCCAGACUCCUACGGGAGGCAGCAGUGGGGAAUCUUGCGCAAUGGGCGAAAGCCUGACGCAGCGACGCCGCGUGAGGGAUGACGGCCUCGG